GACGAACGCUGGCGGCGUGCCUAAUACAUGCAAGUAGGACGCAGUUGCGAACGGGUGAGUAACGCGUAGGUAACUACCUAUUAGAGGGGGAUCACUAUUGGAAACGAUAGCUAAUACCGCAUACUAGUAGAUUGACCUGCGUUGUAUUAGCUAGUAGGUCGGGUAAUUGCCUACCUAGGCAAAGAUACAUAGCCGACCGGCGGUGGGGACCGGCCAACCGGGGACGGGGACACGGCCCAGACUCCUACGGGGGGUAGCAGUAGGGAAUCUUCGGCAAUGUGGGGAACGCUGAACGGGCAACGGCGCGUGAGUGGAGAAAGUUUUCGGAUCGUAAAGCUCUGUUGUUAAGGAAGCGGUACUUAACCAGAAAGGGACGGCUAACUACGUGCCAGCAGCCGCGGUAAUUC
rnacentral:rRNA from 1 species